rnacentral:rRNA from 1 species
AGCGAACGCUGGCGGCAGGCCUAACACAUGCAAGUCGAACGAACCUUUCGGGGUUAGUGGCGGACGGGUGAGUAACACGUGGGAACGUGCCUUUAGGUUCGGAAUAACUCAGGGAAACUUGUGCUAAUACCGAAUGUGCCCUUCGGGGGAAAGAUUAAUCGCCUUUGGAGCGGCCCGCGUCUGAUUAGCUAGUUGGUUGAGGUAAUGGCUCACCAAGGCGACGAUCAGUAGCUGGUCUGAGAGGAUGAUCAGCCACAUUGGGACUGAGACACGGCCCAAACUCCUACGGGAGGCAGCAGUAGGGAAUCUUGCGGAAUGGGCGAAAGCCUGACGCAGCCAUGCCGCGUGAAUGAUGAAGGUCUUAGGAUUGUAAAAUUCUUUCACCGGGGACGAUAAUGACGGUACCCGGAGAAGAAGCCCCGGCUAACUUCGUG